AUUGAACGCUGGCGGCAUGCUUUACACAUGCAAGUCGAACGGCAGCACGGACUUCGGUCUGGUGGCGAGUGGCGAACGGGUGAGUAAUACAUCGGAACGUGCCCAGUUGUGGGGGAUAACUACUCGAAAGAGUAGCUAAUACCGCAUGAGAACUGAGGUUGAAAGCAGGGGAUCGUAAGACCUUGCGCAACUGGAGCGGCCGAUGGCAGAUUAGGUAGUUGGUGGGAUAAAAGCUUACCAAGCCGACGAUCUGUAGCUGGUAUGAGAGGACGACCAGCCAACCUGGGACUGGGACCCGGCCCAGACUCCUACGGGAGGCAGCAGUGGGGAAUUUUGGACAAUGGGCGAAAGCCUGAUCCAGCAAUGCCGCGUGCAGGAUGAAGGCCUUCGGGUUGUAAACUGCUUUUGUACGGAACGAAAAGCUUCGGGUUAAUACCCUGGAGUCAUGACGGUACCGUAAGAAUAAGCACCGGCUAACUACGUGCCAGCAGCCGCCGUAA
rnacentral:rRNA from 1 species